GACAUUUUAAGGGUUUGAAAGAUUGUUGAGACAGCCAGAUAGAGGUGGACACAGAGAAGUUAGAUGUAAAAGUUUUGAAGUAAGGGUAAGAGGGUUGAACUACAAGAUAGAUUGGGAAGUUAUCAGCCUAGCAGUGAUAUCACUGUGAGAGAAAAGAAGAAAACAAAGGGCAGAAUCUUGGAGAACAUCUUUAGAACCUUGCUACUCAAAGCAUGGUCAAUGGCCCAGCUGCACUGGCCCAGCAUCACCAGGGGAUUUGUUGGAAAGGUGGAAUCUCAGCCCUCCCCACCCCAGACCUGCUGAAUCAGGUCUUCAGUUGAACAAGAACCCCAAGUGAUUUGUAUCACAUUAAAGUUUAAGAAGCUCAGACCUAGAUGAGAAAAGCCAACAAAUAAAGAAGGGAUCUAAUCUAGAUAGAGAAGCCAGCAAAGAAAGAGAGGAGGAAGUGGGAGGAGAACCAGAGAAAUGCAGAAUCACCAAAGCAAGAUACAAUGGAGUUUCACAAAGACAGGGGCAGGAAGGAGGGUUGAUCACAAUAUCCAAAACCACAGAGGUCGAAAAGUUCAAGGAAAGAAGCUGGAUUAUGCAGAUGACUACAAGUCCCUGGGGUUGGCAGAACCACAAGAAAGAACGAGCCGGGAUGAAGGAGAGCUGCCCAUUGACCUGGAACACCCACUCUGGAUUAUUUUGUGAGCAAGAGCUAUUUGAAUCCUGGAACACCGUGGGGAGUGAGGGUUCUGGAUGCCCAUUUUGAUUCUUCUGAAACCAUGCCUGCUUCUUCUGGGUUCUGUACUCCAUUUCCA